GCCCCUGUAGCUCAACGGAUAGAGCAAUCCCGUCCUAAGGGAGAGAUAGAGGUUCAAUUCCUUUCAGGGGCACCA
rnacentral:tRNA from 1 species